rnacentral:rRNA from 1 species
GUAGGUGGCAAGCGUUGUCCGGAUUUACUGGGUGUAAAGGGCGUGCAGCCGGGUCUGCAAGUCAGAUGUGAAAUCCAUGGGCUCAACCCAUGAUCUGCAUUUGAAACUGUAGAUCUUGAGUGUCGGAGGGGCAAUCGGAAUUCCUAGUGUAGCGGUGAAAUGCGUAGAUAUUAGGAGGAACACCAGUGGCGAAGGCGGAUUGCUGGACGAUAACUGACGGUGAGGCGCGAAAGUGUGGGGAGCUAACAGGAUUAGAUACCCUGGUAGUCCACACUGUAAACGAUGAAUACUAGGUGUGCGGGGACUGACCCCCUGCGUGCCGCAGUAAACACAAUAAGUAUGCCACCUGGGGAGU